rnacentral:rRNA from 1 species
UACGUAGGGUGCGAGCGUUGUCCGGAAUUACUGGGCGUAAAGAGCUCGUAGGCGGUUUGUCGCGUCGUCCGUGAAAACUCACAGCUCAACUGUGGGCGUGCGGGCGAUACGGGCAGACUAGAGUACUGCAGGGGAGACUGGAAUUCCUGGUGUAGCGGUGGAAUGCGCAGAUAUCAGGAGGAACACCGGUGGCGAAGGCGGGUCUCUGGGCAG